rnacentral:rRNA from 1 species
GACGAACGCUGGCGGCGCGCCUAACACAUGCAAGUCGAGCGAUGAAAUUUUAACCGAUCUCUUCGGAGAGAAGAUAAAAUGGAUUAGCGGCGGACGGGUGAGUAACACGUGAGAAACCUGCCUUUCACAAGGGGAUAGCCUCGGGAAACCGGGAUUAAUACCCUAUGACACAUUUCCUUCGCAUGGCAGAAAUGUUAAAACUCCGGUGGUGAAAGAUGGUCUCGCGCCUGAUUAGCUUGUUGGUGGGGUAACGGCCCACCAAGGCCAUGAUCGGUAACCGGACUGAGAGGGUGACGGGACAGAUUGGGACUGAGAUACGGGCGAGACUGAUAAGGGAGGCAGGAGGGGGGAAUGUGGCAGAAUGGGGGGAAGCCUGAUGUAGUAACGCCGCGUGCGGGAUGACGGACGUCGGGUUGUAAACCGCUUUCGCCUGUGACGAAGCGUGAGUGACGGUAAUGGGUAAAGAAGCACCGGCUAACUACGUG